GAUGAACGCUGGCGGCGUGCCUAAUACAUGCAAGUCGAGCGAAUGGAUUAAGAGCUUGCUCUUAUGAAGUUAGCGGCGGACGGGUGAGUAACACGUGGGUAACCUGCCCAUAAGACUGGGAUAACUCCGGGAAACCGGGGCUAAUACCGGAUAACAUUUUGAACCGCAUGGUUCGAAAUUGAAAGGCGGCUUCGGCUGUCACUUAUGGAUGGACCCGCGUCGCAUUAGCUAGGUGGUGAGGUAACGGCUCACCCAGGCAACGAUGCGUAGCCGACCUGAGAGGGGGAUCGGCCACAAGGGGACAGAGACCAGGCCAAGACUCCUACGGGGGGCAGCAGUAGGGAAUCUUCCGCAAUGGACGGAGGUCUGACGGUGCCACGCCGAGUGAGGAAAGGAGGCUUUAGGGUAAUAAAAAUCUGUUGUUAGGGAAGAACAAGUGCUAGUUGAAUAAGCUGGCACCUUAACGGUACCUAACCAGAAGGCCACGGCUAACUACGUGCCAGCAGCCGCGGUAA
rnacentral:rRNA from 1 species